CCUACGUGUGUCUGCAGUGGGGAAUAUUGGACAAUGGGCGAAAGCCUGAUCCAGCCAUGCCGCGUGUGUGAAGAAGGCCUUCGGGUUGUAAAGCACUUUCAGUGGGGAAGAAAGCCUUGGGGCUAAUACCCUCGAGGAAGGACAUCACCCACAGAAGAAGCACCGGCUAACUCCGUGCCAGCAGCCGCGGUAAUACGGAGGGUGCGAGCGUUAAUCGGAAUUACUGGGCGUAAAGCGCGCGUAGGCGGUCUGAUAAGCCGGUUGUGAAAGCCCCGGGCUCAACCUGGGAACGGCAUCCGGAACUGUCAGGCUAGAGUGCAGGAGAGGAAGGUAGAAUUCCCGGUGUAGCGGUGAAAUGCGUAGAGAUCGGGAGGAAUACCAGUGGCGAAGGCGGCCUUCUGGACUGACACUGACGCUGAGGUGCGAAAGCGUGGGUAGCAAACAGGAUUAGAUACCCCAGUAGUC
rnacentral:rRNA from 1 species